AGAGCGCAAGGGGAAUGCCUUGGCAUCAGGAGCCGACGAAGGACGUGACAAGCUGCGAUAAGCUUCGGGGAGGAGCAAAUAUCCUAUGAUCCGGAGAUUUCCGAAUGGGGAAACCCACUGGAGCAAUACUCCAGUAACGUGCAUUGAAUCAAAUAGGUGUACGUGGGGAACCGCCUGAACUGAAACAUCUAAGUAGGGCGAGGAAAAGACAUCAACCGAGAUUCCGCUAGUAGUGGCGAGCGAACGCGGAGGAGGCCAAACCGGAGGAUUUAUUCUCCGGGGUUCGGACUUGCAUCACGAUCAGAGGAGCCUAAAAGAACGGCAUGGGAAGGCCGGCCACAGAGGGUGAGAGCCCCGUAUUUGAAAGGUGAAGCUGACAGCGAGUAUCCAGAGUACCGCGGGACACGAGGAACCCCGUGGGAAAACGGGUGGACCACCAUCCAAGCCUAAAUACUACCUGAUGACCGAUAGAGGAGCAGUACCGUGAGGGAAAGGUGAAAAGGACCCCGGGAGGGGAGUGAAAGAGAACCUGAAACCUUGUGCUUACAAGCACUCAAAGCACGUUAAAGUGUGAUGAGGUACUUUUUGUAGAACGGUCCGGCGAGUUAUAGUAACGAGCAAGCUUAAGGUAUUCAGUACCGGAGGCGAAGCGAGAGCGAGUCUGAAUAGGGCGUAAAAAGUUCGUUGCCAUAGACCCGAAACCGGGUGACCUAACCAUGAGCAGGCUGAAGUGAGAGUAAAAUCUCAUGGAGGGCCGAACGCACGUUCGUUGCAAUGACCGGCGAUGACUUGUGGUUAGCGGAGAAAUUCCAAUCGAACUCGGAGAUAGCUGGUUCUCCCCGAAAUAGCUUUAGGGCUAGCGUUAUCUUAGAUUACCGGAGGUAAAGCACUGAAUGGGCUAGGGGGCGAUAAGCUUACUGAACCCUAUCAAACUCAGAAUGCCGGCUAAUUGAUGGAUAGCAGUCAGACAGUGUGAGAUAAGUUUCAUUGUCAAAAGGGAAACAGCCCAGACCCACAGCUAAGGUCCCUAAUGCAUGCUAAGUGGAAAACGAUGUGGAAUUGCGAAAACAACCAGGAUGUUGGCUUAGAAGCAGCCACUCAUUAAAAGAGUGCGUAAUAGCUCACUGGUCGAGUGACUCUGCGCGGAAAAUAUAACGGGGCUAAGCAUGCAACCGAAGCUUGGGAUUGUCUAAAGACAGUGGUAGGGGAGCGUCGUGUACGGGGUGAAGUCGCAUCGGAAGGAGCGGUGGACUGUACACGAGUGAGAAUGCCGGAAUGAGUAGCGAGAAUUAUGUGGGAAUCAUAAUGGCCGAAAAUCUAAGGUUUCUUGGGGAAGGUUCGUCCGCCCAAGGUUAGUCGGGAGCUAAGCUCAGGCCGAAAGGCGUAGGCGAUGCACAUACGGUAGAAAUUCCGUAACCACCGAACAUUUAAGCUAGAGGGACGCUUUCAUUAAGUCUAUCCCGGGCGAUGGUUGCCCCGGGCGUAAGGGACCGAAAUUUAGUAGGGAAGUAGACGGCGUGAGAGACGAGAAAAGCUCUAGUGUAUACUAAGGUGCCCGUACCGCAAACCGACACAGGUAGAUGGGAUGAGUAUUCUAAGGCCAACGGGAGAAGGGUUGUUAAGGAACUCGGCAAAUUGGCCCCGUAACUUCGGGAUAAGGGGCGCCUGCGAGAGCAGGCCGCAGUGAAAAGGCCCAAGCGACUGUUUAGCAAAAACACAGCUCUCUGCUAAAUCGAAAGAUGACGUAUAGGGGGUGACGCCUGCCCGGUGCUGGAAGGUUAAGGGGAGUGCUUAGCGCAAGCGAAGGUGCGAACUUAAGCCCCAGUAAACGGCGGCCGUAACUAUAACGGUCCUAAGGUAGCGAAAUUCCUUGUCAGGUAAGUUCUGACCCGCACGAAUGGCGUAAUGAUUUGGGCACUGUCUCGACAGCCCGCCCGGCGAAAUUGUAGUACUGGUGAAGAUGCCAGUUACCCGCAACUAGACGGAAAGACCCCAUGGAGCUUUACUGCAGUUUAAUACUGGGAAUCGGUAAUGCAUGUACAGGAUAGGUGGGAGACUAGGAAGCAUGGUCGUCAGGUCAUGUGGAGUCACCGGUGGGAUACCACUCUUGUAUUGCUGAUUUCCUAACCUGCGGCCGUGAAUCCGGUCGGGGGACACUGUUAGACGGGCAGUUUGACUGGGGCGGUCGCCUCCAAAAGAGUAACGGAGGCGCUCAAAGGUUCGUUCAGCACGGACGGAAAUCGUGCAUUGAGUGUAAACGCAUAAACGAGCCUAACUGCGAGACCGACGGGUCGAGCAGUAACGAAAGUUGGAGUUAGUGAUCCGGUGGUAUGUGAGUGG
rnacentral:rRNA from 1 species